rnacentral:lncRNA from 1 species
UGUGACCAGGUGUAUUAGUUUUCUGUGGCUGCUGUAGCAAAUCAGCACAAACGUAGCAGUUUAGAACAAUGCAUACUUAUCUCAGGGUUCUGUAGGCCGGAGGUCUGGGUUAGCCUGGCUGGUUUCUCUGCUCUGGGUUCCACAAAGCCAAAAUCAGGGUGCCAGCUGGGCUCUUAGUGGAAGGCUCUGGGAAGAACUGAGUUCCACUGUCAUUCAGGUUGUUGGCUGUAGCAGAGACCUGUUUCCUUGUGGCUGUCAGCUGCAGGCUGCCCUCUCGCUGCUCCUUGCUGUGGGUCCCUGCACCUUGGGGUCAGCAAAGCUGACUGUGUCGGAGGGAAUUUGGCCAACUUCCCUGGAAGGAUGGGUUGCUCUCUUUUGCCUCCAGCUGCAGAAAGUUCUCCACUUUUAAAGGCUCAUGUGAUUAGUUUGCCCAUCUGAAUAAUCUGGGAUAAUCUCGCUAUUUUAAUGUCUGCAACCUUAAUUACAUUUAUGAAGUCCAGUUUGCCGUGUAAUUUAACACAUUACAAAUUCCAGGGGUCGGGGCGGACAUUUUUGGGGAGCCAUUCUGUCAACUGCAACCAGUGAUUAUGGAAUUCUAGCUAGUGAGUGGAACUGGAGGUGCCACGUAGGACCCCGGGAGGCUCGCUUGAAGAGGAGAGGCCUUUGUUCCCUCUGUCCUCAUCCUGCCGAGACUGCUGGACCAGCCUCCUUGAAACAGGAGGCAAGGACCACGCCCUCGGGAUGGUGGACGGGGAGCUGGAAGGAGUUGGACUCCUUUGGAAGCAUAUAGUUGUAUAUUCUUUUAGUUGUGGGUCCUUCUAGUUGUGGCAUGUGGGACAUGCCUCAACAUGGCCUGACGAGCUGUGCCAUGUCCGUGCCCAGGAUCUGAACCAGUGAAACCCUGGACCGCCGAAUCGGAGCGCACAAACUUAACCACUCGGCCACGGGGCCGGCCCCAGAAAUAAACUUCUUAUUAAAUCUUGGUAUUCUAAAAUUUUCUGUUACAUAUAGUUGAACCUACUACUGAAAAAUAUGCCCUUCAAACUUUGUAGAAUUUUCUUAGCUCCUUAGAAUGUCUGUAGCAUGGAUUGACAAAAUUAAAUAUACUUGGGUUCCCAAUCAUUCUAUCUAGUAUGAACAAUAACUAUUAUCUGAGGUUAUAAAAUGACAUACUCACAUAUAGUAAUAAAAGUAUUUAUUGUUUGUGAAAUAAAUUCAUUUUUCUUAGUAAUGUCUGAUUCUUCUUCUUAUCCCUGUGUUCAAAAAUGUCAUUCUGUAUAUUUCAGUUUAAUAAUUUUCCCUUUAGAGUGAAAAACAGAAAAGUUUGUAGAUCUGAAGCUGAAAUACGUAGGAAAUG